GCAAUGGUAGUUAAUUUAUUGUACUUCAAGAAGGAGUUUUACUUACGUACUAGUAAUGCAUUCAUAAUUUUCUCUUUCUCCUCAUGAAAAAUAAAAGCAUUUGGUUAUUUCUGCUUCUCCUCUGUCUGUGAACUGUUAUCUUUUAUAAUUAUAUGUAUAUUUUAUAGUUUUUCUAUUUCUUCCUUUCUUUUCUCUGCACGCAUUUUAUUCCUUUUCUUUUUCUUGAUGAAUUCGGUUUGGUGAAAUUGAUCAAAGCUCUGCUGCUGGAGGAAAAUGCAAAGAUACUGCACUUCAAAGGAAGAAAAUCUUGCAGGAAGAGAAGGAAAGGUUUUGGAAAGCUGCUUUCACUGUAUUGGAUACGAUCAAUAACAGAUGCUAUAGAAGUUUGCUGGCCCAUAACAGCUGACUUUCCUCCUGCUUCAUGUCUCUCUCGCUCUAUCGGUAUCUCUUCCUUUCCCUCUAUACUUUGGCAUGUCUAUAAUUUAUUAAUAUUCUUAUAUUCGGAAAUCCAGAAUGGUACAACAUACCAUUCUCGUGUUUCAAUCCGUUAUGUUAUUAGAAUAAUAUUUAAACUUUUAUUGAGAGGUCCUGUUUUGUCUUCCAAAACUUAUUUUAAAUUCCAAGGCCAUAAGAUUCUCUGCAUAACUGUUGAUUAGCCUGAUUCUUUUGCAGCCAGAUGCUAACUCCAUAGAAAUUAUUUGUCUGACAUUAGUUAUAUUAGUCAGAGAUGAAGAAAUACCUCUACAUUCAUGUCACGCAGCAAUUCCAUCAGGAAGGGUAUUUCUUUUUGCAUCUCUUGUUUUAAGCCCUUCAAGUACUGAAAACAAAGAAACCAGCAUAAAUAUUGAAGUGAUUGUAAUUGGUGUGCUAUGAGAAUGACAAAUAAUUCUUCUAAAACCUGAAUAAAGUUGGAGAUAAUUGUUUUUCCAUCUUCACUUUCUGGUUGCACCAUUAGUUUGAAAUGGUGAUGGCUCAUCCUGAUGACCUGGGAAAGCCUCUUGGUCCUCAUCGUAAAAGGUUGUGGGAUAUUAAAAAUAACUCCUAUUUCUCCUGCCACAUCUGCAGCCCCUAGUUUUGACAAAACCUGAAGAACUCUUGUCAGCAUUGAUAAAGGUUUGUUAAUUGCAAAUCAUUAGGAUAACAGGCUUCAGUUAGCUUGCUUUAUAUAUUGAAUUUUUGUAAAGGUUCCGAAACUUAAGACACUGGAAUAUGUUGACAUGUGCUACAAUCGAGUGAUUAAGUGCCGGAAUUAUUUGCUCUGAAUAUGCUUGUAAAUGUGUAAUCUAACCAUUGUUAGAUUGUUCGUAACAGUAUAUAGCCAUAUGCUUGAAUUAUCAAGCUGUUUGUGCCUUUAUUCCUCUUUUAUGUGGUGUCAGAGCCAAGGAUUUGAACGCUUGUGUCUAACUUCUCUUGUUGUUUCUUAGAAACAAGUCUUCUGCCUCUUCUAGCUGCAAUAGGUUGAGAGUUAUAUAAGCUCAUUACCCAUCCCGUUAGGAGCGCCAGUUGCCAAUCUUUUCUUCUUUCUUUUAUUUUUUAUUCUCCUUCCUCUUCUGUAGAAUGUAUAACAUGAACAGGAUGUCAGGAUCCCUUAAUAAGCGGCCUGUAUUUUCUUUAUUACCUCAUGAAGAUAAUGCUCUCAUAACUUCUGCUUAUUGUUUUGCAUCACGAGAUAUAGCUGAUUGAAGUUUGUUCAGUUAUAUGGUAACCUGUUUGUUGAUUUCAUUCCUCAGGAUCUUGUUGACUGUAAAGUGUGAUCCUGUCAUAGUUGUGUUGGUUAGUUGAAGGUUCAGCAUCAAGGAGAUACUAUGUUUUGUGGAUUUGCUGUGUAGCGUUCACUUUGUCUGCAAACUGGAGUUCUACUUUCAACCAGGUCUAUGUAAAGGCUGAACUAUGCUCUAAAGUGUCAUCCUUGUGUAUGAAGUAUUAAUUCAAGUUAUCGUACACUGUGGAAAGCUAAACAAUUGUUCUCACACAAGUAUGAAGAAAAUUAAAUUUCAUUCAGGAAGUAGUUUGUUGGUUAAAUAUAUUCCGAAAUACCUGCUGUGUUCCAUUCUUGUAUGUGAGCACAUCCUGCAAAAUGAAAUACAGCUCAGGUUUCAAAUCCAAGAGCAUAUAAUAUUUAAUUGCCUGUGAGAAAAAAGAAAAGAGCUGGCCAUACCAAUUCUCCGGACACCAUAAUAUAGAAAUCUGUAGGAAUCUCAUUUUCUAAAAUGAUUUCCACCUUAGGUGGAUAGUAUUCUGCUUUCAUCUCUGAUACCUGAAGAAUAAACGCAAGAAGAUAUUCGUGAAGUUACAAUUGUUUUGGCUGCUUGCAUUAGUCAUAAUUGCCAUUCCUACAUUUAUUUAUUUGAGUGUUUGAUGCAAUUUCUUAUUUACUAAUAUAAAUUACAUGGAGAGCACAGGGUAUAUUUACCAGCUGGAUGACGAGGUCUUCAGAGACUCCUUUGAAUAGAUAGGUGUUUUCAACAGUGCUACGGAAAAGAUGCUGAGCAAUGCUGGAUCUUAUAGCUUUUGGAUUUUGGAUUGAUAGAUGGAAUUUACCAUGGCAAAAGUUCGAACUGCAGCGUGGACAAUAAGAUUUGUCAUGUUUCCUAUUAUAUAAGCGGUGAGACCAAUGUUGAAUAGCAUAUAAAACAUGUUGAAAAUCUUCU